GUCCCUAACAUGUCCCUAGCUGCCUGCAGCUCAUCUGUCUUAACAAGCAUCGAACACUUCACUCCGUGGGUAAACCGCGGCGGCUAGUCCACCACAUCUCCGCACGUGAGACUCGCCUGUAGAGACAGACGCUUUCCCUAUGCUAUCCCUACAGAAAUGCAGUUGUCUGUCUGGGCUGGUGGGGCUGAAGGGGUGUAUGUGGUGUGUCACAUCCUAGGUCAGUGACGU